UAUAGAAUCAUUCACAACAAAAAAAAAAAAAAAAAAUUCACUGAAACACACUGUGGCAAGAAUUUUUUAGACGAUAAUCUCGGGAUUUCAUUUUCGAACGAUCGGAAAAAAAAAGUAUUAAAUUUCAUCGGUAAUCUAUUCGAACACUUUCGCAAUUAAUAAGGAGAAAGCCGGUGUUGUAAAUCCUUGAACGCGAUCUUGCCUACCGAUCUCCAAAGCUGAAACUAAACGUUGCAGAAGUCCACGCGAGUCUGUGAGUCUUUUCACAGAUUCGUCGUUCUUUAAGAUGUUCCCGUAAAAUCUAGAUACACUCACGGACGUGAAACUCAGCGUCCUUGUUCGAUCUCAUCGUGACCAACAAUAGUAUUCUAUCAUGGAUUGUAUAUAUCAGUCGUUUACAUUCUGAAUUUCGAAUGGAAACAAAUUGAAACCGGUUUUUUCAAGCAGUUCUUGAACAUCACAUGAAUAUCAAUGGAUAAAUUUGAAUAAACCAAAAAGAUCAAAGUAGGUUUAUCGCCUGCAGCAAAAAAAAAAGUGUGUAAUUUAAUACAUAGACAAAAAGAAAAAAAAAAAAAAAACAAAAUAAGAUAUAUGAUUUAUAGUUCUUAUGCAAAGAUGCUGUUUUCUAGUUAUAAAUUUAUCGAUCGAUCAAGUGGAAAGCCAAUAUAAAAGGAAUAAUUAAUGCUUACAUUUUUGGAAUGCUCAUUAUCAGUUAAUUAAUGUGAAUAUUCUACAUCACAUUUAAAAUUAAUUACGUUUGAUGAAGCUAAUAUAUCGGAAAGAUAAUUGCAAGAACUUUGUAAGAAGCACACUUAGAAUCGCUGAAAGAUUAAUUGCCAGUGAAAUUCCUAGAAACGAUUGUUAAAUGUUUUCACAGAAUGAAAAUAAAGAGUUGAAAGUUGAGAUAUUGCUUCCAACAGUAUUACCAAACAGCUAAAUUAAAAAUGUUGAAUAUCAUUGUCACGUUGAAAGCACCGACAGAAGAAGGUAUGACAAUUGUUUUCAUCGUAAAAAAAUUCCAUUAAAAGAAAUCAUUAUGCGAAUGAUAUGAUUAAAAUAUCAUAAGGAUCAUCUUGGGAUA